AGUCGCUUGAAUUAUACUGCUGUGUGUCUGCGCCAUGCUUCUUCAGUCUUCGAGCUGGAAGCUUUCCGGGGAGGGUCAGUAAUGGCCACUGAGCCCUCUGUUGGCUUAUUGGCUGAGCUCACUGAUGAGGAAACCUUGAGUUCGUCACUUUCUCUUCUCUAAUUGCUGAAGUGGCCGUCACUGAAGAUGACAGAGCGUUUCUGAAGGACACAUGGGAAUCAUUAACCAGCCCAAUAAAAUGAUCUAUUUAUGUAGAGUUCCUUGGACAGCCCAGGGAAGGACCUCCACCUUCGUUGCUCCCUUCUCCUGUCCCCCCACCUACCAAAACACAGGAACCCCAUCUUCAGACAGAAGGCAUGCUGCCUCAUGAAGGCUCACAGUUCCAGCCCUUAGAACCAUCCAGAGGGCACAACCAUCAGACGAAGUGGGAGGAAGAAACAUUAACUUCAACAGCUGUUUCUUGACCCCGGCUGUCAGUCUUCCCAAGAAUAAAUUUUGGAGAGUCCUAUUUGAAACAAAGAGGGAGUUUUGGGGGAGAGAAAAGUUGGUUGGUUCCAGGGCAGCCGCCCAAAGAAGCAGGGAACAAGAUGUUUGCAGUUACCACGCAGCCUGCAAGCCUCUGCCGGGUGCAGGCAAGGAGCAAAGUAACUUGAAAGCUCCCCUCUCGGCGCCCUGUGCCUGCAGCUUCCCCCCCUAACGCGCGCCCAGAUCCAGCGCCGGUGGUAAGAGCCGAAGCUCGACUACAGUAAUUCCCCAGCUCGGGCGGCUUGAAACUGCUCGGGCUGAAUAGCAUUUGCUGUUCCGUCCUGUGGCAGCCUCCCGCCGCCGCUGCCGCGCUCCCUGCAAAGCAGCUCUCAUUAUCCCGGAAGUUGUGCUGACACAGUCUCGCUGCCACCAGAAGUUUGUCAACAUCAAACUUCUCCUGUGUGGGGUACGUUCACCUUCCACGAGUAUUUAAUCGAGCCAACAAGCAAACAAACAAACCCAAAUAAACCUGCCCGUGAUGUCAUGGUCUU
rnacentral:lncRNA from 1 species